rnacentral:rRNA from 1 species
AUUGAACGCUGGCGGCAGGCCUAACACAUGCAAGUCGAGCGGAGCGGCGGCCGGGCGGGUAAUGAAUAGGUAUGUGCCCGAUAGCGGGGGAUAACGUCCGGAACGGGGACCUAAUCCCGCAUCCUAUUUGCUGCCCCUAGGCCGGAUUAUCUAGUUGGUGGGGUACAGGCCUAGCAAGGCGACGAUCCGUAACUGGUCUGAGAGGAUGAUCAGUCACACUGGAACUGAGACACGGUCCAGACUCCUACGGGAGGCAGCAGUGGGGAAUAUUGGACAAUGGGCGAAAGCCUGAUCCAGCCAUGCCGCGUGUGUGAAGAAGGUCUUCGGAUUGUAAAGCACUUUAAGUUGGGAGGCGGUACCAACAGAAUAAGCACCGGCUAACUUCGUGCCAGCAGCCGCGGUAAUUC